rfam:Stegodyphus mimosarum contig45294, whole genome shotgun sequence.
GUCUUCGUGGUGUAAUGGUUAACACAUUCGGCGCGUAUUCGAGAGGUCCAGGUUCGACUCCCGGCAAGGGCA